rnacentral:rRNA from 1 species
UUACUCUUCGGAGUGAGAGCGUACACAGGUGCUGCAUGGCUGUCGUCAGCUCGUGACGUGAGAUGUUGGGUUAAGUCCGUAACGAGCGCAACCCUUGUCCUUAGUUACCAGCACGGUUAUGGUGGGCGACUCUAAGGAGACCGCCGGUGACAACCGGAGGAAGGUGGGGAUGACGUCAAGUCAUCAUGGCCCUUACGGCCUGGGCUACACACGUGCUACAAUGGUCGGUACAAAGGGUUGCCAAGCCGCGAGGUGGAGCUAAUCCCAUAAAAACCGAUCGUAGUCCGGAUCGCAGUCUGCAACUCGACUGCGUGAAGUCGGAAUCGCUAGUAAUCGUGAAUCAGAAUGUCACGGUGAAUACGUUCCCGGGCCUU